GAGAAGAGAAGAGAAGAGAAGAGAAGAGAAGAGAAGAGAAGAGAAGAGAAGAGAAGAGAAGAGAAGAGAAGAGAAGAGAAGAGAAGAGAAGAGGAGGAGGAAAAGAGAAGAGAAGAAGAAUCAGCUCCAGAAGGGUUUUGCAGAGAUCAGGUAAAAAAUCAACCUGUCAUUGUAUUUCUGUACAAAAUCAUCAAACACUG
rnacentral:lncRNA from 12 species